GCUUGGCUGAGGGUACACUGUGUGCCAGAGAAGCAUAAGGGCCGCUGCCACCAUUAAGUAGAGAAAAGAAUGCGGAACAGCAGGGCAUGGUGGCUCACACCUGUUAUCCCAGCACCAUGGGAGGCCCAGGCUGGCAGGAGGUGCCUCCUUCUUUGUCCAGAAAGAAGAAAGAGUGGCUGCUUGGCCCGGGGGCUGUCAAAGGGCAAACCAGGUCAAUGGUCCCACCCGGCCCACAGCGUCAGAGG
rnacentral:lncRNA from 1 species